CAAUUUGAAAAACCCUAAAAAUAUUUCUCUUUUUCUUUUUUGAAGCCGUUUUCUUCUUUUCCUUUAUUUUGCCUAGCGGCGGUGUCAGCUUUCGGGCUGGCUAUCGUCCGCCUCGUUUACUUCAUGUGUCUCUCUUUUUAGUUUAUAGAUCUAUUUUGUGAGCUCUCUAUUCACUCCAAAUACUUUAUUUUUUUUUAAUUGCAGAUCUAUUUUGUGGGUAUCUUCAAUAUCUUCCCAAGUUGUAAUGGACAAAUAAUGAUGUCGUUGUUGAACCUUCACCGCUCAUCAAUGGUUUCUUUUGGAAAGUGAGUUGGUUGUAGAUACUCAAACAGUGGCUCUUCAUCAACUUCCUAAUAUGUUUUUGUUUUGAAAUAAUAAAUGAAUUCGUGAGUCAAUUUGGACAUGUAUUAUCUUUAGGUUUUAUAUGUUUUCUUAUUUAUUUUUUAUUGUUUAAUAAAUCUUAACUUUGAAAAGUUUUUCAAUCUUGCUUAUACAUGUAGUCUUACUUUUGUGUGAUUUUAGGGAAUUUUCUCGUCAGCCUUUCUAGUUUGAUGGAUGCUCAAUUCUUUUUUCGAUUCCACCCAUUGCUUUAAACCAUCCGAGGUUGAUUUUCUGAUCAUGUUAGUAGCUUGCAAUCACUCCAAAUAUGUUGUGUGUGAGUUGUGACAAAGCCAAAUGUUCUAUUGAUGUUAAGGUUGAAGCCAUUGUCGUGUUGAUGGAGCUUGCCUUCACUGCCAACAACGAGUGUUUGUUUUUUUUUUCUUUUUCCCGAAUUGUAAGAUCUCAUUCAUGGAAUAACUUAAUGAAUUUUCCCUUAAAAAAACAAUUCUACCCAAUUUUCAACGAC
rnacentral:lncRNA from 1 species